rnacentral:rRNA from 1 species
GCAGCCGCGGUAAUACGGAGGGUGCGAGCGUUAAUCGGAAUUACUGGGCGUAAAGCGCAUGCAGGUGGUUUGUUAAGUCAGAUGUGAAAGCCCGGGGCUCAACCUCGGAAUUGCAUUUGAAACUGGCAGACUAGAGUACUGUAGAGGGGGGUAGAAUUUCAGGUGUAGCGGUGAAAUGCGUACAGAUCUGAAGGAAUACCGGUGGC